rnacentral:lncRNA from 1 species
AUUGAGUUUUGACUCAAGAUUUCAAACAAGUCAUAGGCUUCGUCCUCACUCUUGCUCAUGAAUGCACCUCCAUAAGAUGCAUCUACCUUCUGUCUAUACUGAUCUCCUAAAUCCUAAUAGAAAGCUUGAACAAUUUGCCACUUUGGUAGACCAUUAGGUGGGUAUUUUCUAAGAACUUUCUUAAGUCUCUCCCAUGACUCAUGAAUUUGUUCUCCUGGA